GCACAGGUGGUUCAGUGGUAGAGUUCUCGCCUGCCAUGCUGGAGGCCCAGGUUCGAUUCCCGGCCCAUGCA
rnacentral:tRNA from 1 species